CAAAACAAUGCAUUACUAAAAAAAAGGGGUCCUUCUUUCAGAUAUUUUACCAAGGUCGGAGUUCUGUUUAAGUGCUCACUGCUGGGUUACAAUACACAUAAUCUAAUUGAAUAGGAAUAAAUGAAAAGAAUGAACCAGAAUAGCAUUUUCUAUCCUAUGAAACACAAAAGGGGGUUUUAUAAACCAUGCAGCUGAAACCCCAACUAUUUUGGCACUUAUCCUUUAACACUAAAUAUCAAACAAUACACAUGGGGCAUCAAUACAAAGGCCUGUGUUUCUUUGUUAAGAAGAAAAAAAAA